UGAAUAUUGCAGGAAUUGAAUGUUGAACCGUACAUAUUUUCACAUCUCUCAACAAACUUUUGCAACGCUACUUCUACAAAAUUCAGAUGACCUUCAUCUAAAUUACGGAUAUAUUCCUCAUCGGUACAAAAAGAAUGAUCAAUACCAUGAAAAGUAUAACGUCCCUCACAUCGUUGGCCAUUAACUUUACAUUUGGAGCAUGGCUGUUUGGAUGUAUGGCCUCGAUGAUUCAAAAUAAAAGCACGAGCUGGCGCAUCAGCUAUAAAACAUCUUAACUGUAAUGUGCCUCUGUAUAUCCCUAUUAUUAUUGGCCUUGUGUGUUUUAUUGCAUUAAACGUUGACCGAUCAACCGCUUUUCGGCGUUUAAAAAAGAUGGGAUUCGAUUUGAAGCUCGACAUAUGGGUGCCCCAUUUGCUGACCGA